rnacentral:rRNA from 1 species
AUUGAACGCUGGCGGUAUGCUUAACACAUGCAAGUCGAACGAUGAGAAAGAGCUUGCUCUUUCGAUUAGUGGCGGACGGGUGCGUAACGCGUAGGAAUCUACCUAUUAGUGGGGGACAACUUAGGGAAACUUAAGCUAAUACCGCAUACGCCCUACGGGGGAAAGAAGGGGAUCGCAAGACCUUUUGCUAAUAGAUGAGCCUGCGUAGGAUUAGCUAGUUGGUGGGGUAAAGGCUCACCAAGCCAACGAUCUGUAGCUGGUCUGAGAGGACGACCAGCCACACUGGGACUGAGACACGGCCCAGACUCCUACGGGAGGCAGCAGUGGGGAAUUUUGGACAAUGGGCGAAAGCCUGAUCCAGCAAUGCCGCGUGCAGGAAGAAGGCCUUCGGGUUGUAAACUGCUCUUGUACGGAGCGAAAAGGCUCUCUCUAAUACAGGGGGCUCAUGACGGUACCGUAAGAAUAAGCACCGGCUAACUACGUGCCAGCCGCCGCCGUAA